CUCAUUUGUAUUCGUAUUUUAACAAUAUGGUAUUUUUGUGUAUUGUUAUCCAAAUUCUUGUUAGACAGUUGUUGGUUGAUUAUUAAUGAAAUAUUCAAAUAGACAGUGGAUAGUUGGUUGAGGCUGGUUUCGGAAAACAGGCAUGGGCUUGUCUUGUUCGAGCUACCUGACUUUGACCGAGUCUUAACCUGUCCUUGCCUCUUUGGGGUGGCACAGGUAGGGUCAAGACUCAAGGGAGACUGCGAUUGCGACACUGCAGUCAGAGGGUCAAGAAGGGCUGUCCUUCCAUAGUUGACCGCUGAAUCAGACAUGUGGCGAGUAAAGAAUGGUGGUUACUGUUAAUAGCCAAACACGCGUGCGGCACCAGCGUCUCUAGCAGCAGUCAGCCGAGCAUGGAAUAGUGAGUCCACUGACUUGUUCCCCAGAGUUUUUUUAACCUCUUGUCUGUUGUCUCUUAUCGGCUUCCGCUGGAGUUGUAUAAUUUGAAUUACCUUUGGUCGUUCAGACCUGUUUUUGACUGCCCAGACCUCCUGUAUGAACCCUCUCCAAAACAAAAGUACACCACUAUUAUGCUUUUAAGAUUAAAACUGACAAACAUGCCUGUUUCCUUUCACAAAUACGAGGAUUAUAAUUCAUGGUUUACAGCUCUGUUGUUUUUGUAUACUAAUUUUGAUGUGUUAUUUCGAUGAUG
rnacentral:lncRNA from 1 species